UUUUCCUUGAAUUAAUUUGAAAAUAACACUCUUCAGUAAACUCAAACUUUCUAUACUGAAUGGUUCAUGCUGGCUUAACAGAAAAAUCAAAAGGAGAUGAUGUGCUUGAAGAGUAUGAAGCCACCAAUAUAUGAGAGUUGUCCAACCUCAACGCAGAGAGAUCAGUAUGCACUUGGAAUUGUGACUGUCUCUGUCGUUAGAAGACCCAUUUUCUAGGGAAGGUGUGUGAUGCUGCAAAUAGGAGUGGAUAUCUUGCUUGGCUGAAAACUGCUGAGAAACGCAUCUUGUCGUGCUGAAAAAAAAGAAGUCUAGAAGAAAGAAAAAGACUAUUCUCUCCAAGGAGGUCCAAACACCAUCACAGACAUUGAUUAGUGAGCCUUAACAUGUAUUCUGCAUUUAUGGUAAUGAAUGGAAUGCUGUUGUUUAACCUGAUAAAUGUCAGCAUUAUAAAUCUUAUGACAUUAAGAGUACAUAUGGACCAAAUAAGAAUGUUUUUUGUGUCUUUGCACUGAUUUGCUUUGACAUUAUGAUGUUUAAUUGUUGUAAGGCCAUGCUCUUUACAUUGAAUUUUAGAAUUUUAGAUUUAGAAUUUAUUUAUUUGUUUUUAUUUUGAAUUGCUUUGAAUUGAAACAUUGAAAGUGAAGACAUUUUGGUGCAGGG
ensembl:lncRNA